GAUCAAAAAAACAAUUUUCAAAAUAAAAACUACUCCUACAUUCUCUCUCUAGAAGUUCAACAAUUGAUGACCAUAUCUUUUUUCUGGCGAAACGUUCUUCUUCACCAUUCAGACAACAGACAACGAUUACAUCUUCUGGUUGUUAUUGAAGGUAAUGUAAAUACCUAUGUAUGCCCAUGAGUUGUCUUUGAGUGUAUGAUGUAGAAAGGAAACGAUUUGAGAAACGGGCAUCGAUAGGAAGGCGAUGGAAAGGGAAUGACUUUGAAAAAGCGAAGUGCAACUUAUGUUAUCCGAUGCCAAUAUACAUCGUGAAAGAAUCAAGAAAGAAGCGAAUGACUUUGAAAAGGAGAAGUAGUCUUUUUUCUAAGAAUUAUAUUAAUCAUAGUUGAACUAUGGUACUGAUUUUGAAGUUCUUAGUAAUUUUCUUAUCUAUUGUGUGAAUCUUUAUUUUUGAAAAGAUAGUCAUACUUUGUGGUAUCGUUCUAUUUUGUAUAUAUGUUUGAAAUUUUAUAAGCAUUUGAUGCUACGCAGA
rnacentral:lncRNA from 1 species